ACGGGUGAGUAACACGUAGGCAACCUGCCGACAGGAUGGGGACAACAUUCCGAAAGGAAUGCUAAUACCGAAUGAAGUGCAGGGGAGGCAUCUCCCCUGCAUGAAAGAUGGCCUCUAUAUAUAAGCUAUCACCUGUCGAUGGGCCUGCGUCUGAUUAGCUGGUAGGUGAGGUAACGGCUCACCUAGGCGACGAUCAGUAGCCGGUCUGAGAGGAUGAACGGCCACAUUGGGACUGAGACACGGCCCAGACUCCUACGGGAGGCAGCAGUGGGGAAUCUUCCGCAAUGGGCGCAAGCCUGACGGAGCAACGCCGCGUGAGUGAAGAAGGUUUUCGGAUCGUAAAGCUCUGUUGUAAGAGAAGAACGAGUGUGAGAGGGGAAAGUUCACACUGUGACGGUAUCUUACCAGAAAGGGACGGCUAACUACGUGCCAGCAGCCGCGGUAAUACGUAGGUCCCGAGCGUUGUCCGGAUUUAUUGGGCGUAAAGCGAGCGCAGGCGGUUAGAUAAGUCUGAAGUUAAAGGCUGUGGCUUAACCAUAGUACGCUUUGGAAACUGUUUAACUUGAGUGCAAGAGGGGAGAGUGGAAUUCCAUGUGUAGCGGUGAAAUGCGUAGAUAUAUGGAGGAACACCGGUGGCGAAAGCGGCUCUCUGGCUUGUAACUGACGCUGAGGCUCGAAAGCGUGGGGAGCAAACAGGAUUAGAUACCCU
rnacentral:rRNA from 1 species